AGAGUUUGAUCCUGGCUCAGGAUGAACGCUGGCGGCGUGCUUAACACAUGCAAGUCGAACGGGGAAUAUUCUGACAGAGACUUCGGUUGAAGUCGUUAUAUUCCUAGUGGCGGACGGGUGAGUAACGCGUGGGUAACCUGCCCCACACAGGGGGAUAACAACCAGAAAUGGCUGCUAAUACCGCAUAAGCGCACGGGACCGCAUGGUCCUGUGUGAAAAACUCCGGUGGUGUGGGAUGGGCCCGCGUUGGAUUAGCCAGUUGGCAGGGUAACGGCCUACCAAAGCGACGAUCCAUAGCCGGCCUGAGAGGGUGAACGGCCACAUUGGGACUGAGACACGGCCCAGACUCCUACGGGAGGCAGCAGUGGGGAAUAUUGCACAAUGGGGGAAACCCUGAUGCAGCGACGCCGCGUGAAGGAAGAAGUAUCUCGGUAUGUAAACUUCUAUCAGCAGGGAAGAAAAUGACGGUACCUGACUAAGAAGCCCCGGCUAACUACGUGCCAGCAGCCGCGGU
rnacentral:rRNA from 1 species